GAAUCUUGGGCAAUGGGCGCAAGCCUGACCCAGCCAUGCCGCGUGUGUGAAGAAGGCCUUCGGGUUGUAAAGCACUUUCAGUGGUGAAGAAAAGCCUGGGGCUAAUAUCCCCGGGUCUUGACGUUAACCCCAGAAGAAGCACCGGCUAACUCCGUGCCAGCAGCCGCGGUAAUACGGAGGGUGCGAACGUUAAUCGGAAUUACUGGGCGUAAAGCGCGCGUAGGCGGUUCGACAAGUGGGAUGUGAAAGCCCUGGGCUUAACCUGGGAACUGCAUUCCAAACUAUCGGGCUAGAGUAUGGUAGAGGGAGGUGGAAUUUCCUGUGUAGCGGUGAAAUGCGUAGAUAUAGGAAGGAACACCAGUGGCGAAGGCGGCCUCCUGGACCAAUACUGACGCUGAGGUGCGAAAGCGUGGGGAGCAAACAGGA
rnacentral:rRNA from 1 species